rnacentral:rRNA from 1 species
UGGGGAAUCUUGCGCAAUGGACGAAAGUCUGACGCAGCCACGCCGCGUGAGUGAAGAAGGCCUUCGGGUUGUAAAGCUCUGUCGCCCGGGACGAAAAUUCCAUGAGUGAAUAGCUCAUGGAACUGACGGUACCGGGAGAGGAAGCACCGGCUAACUCCGUGCCAGCAGCCGCGGUAAUACGGAGGGUGCAAGCGUUGCUCGGAAUUAUUGGGCGUAAAGGGUAGGUAGGUGGUCUCAUUUGUCUGGGGUGAAAGCCUUGAGCUUAACUCAAGAAGUGCCCCAGAAACGGUGAGACUAGAGUCCUGGAGAGGGUCGUGGAAUUCCCGGUGUAGCGGUGAAAUGCGUAGAGAUCGGGAGGAACACCAGAGGCGAAGGCGGCGACCUGGACAGGAACUGACACUAAACUACGAAAGCGUGGGGAGCAAACAGGAUUAGAUACCCGUGUAGUCC